rnacentral:rRNA from 1 species
CCUACGGGAGGCAGCAGUGGGGAAUAUUGGGCAAUGGGCGCAAGCCUGACCCAGCAACGCCGCGUGAAGGAAGAAGGCUUUCGGGUUGUAAACUUCUUUUCGCAGGGACGAAACAAGUGACAGUACCUGCGGAAUAAGCCACGGCUAACUACAUGCCAGCAGCCGCGGUCAUACGUCGGGGGCAAGCGUUAUACGGAUUUCCUGGGUGUAAAGGUCUUGUAGGGGGGAAAGCAAGUCAGAUGUUAAAACCAUGGGCUCAACCUGUUUACUGCAUUUGAAACUGUUGUUCUUGAGUACUGGAGAGGCAGACGGAAUUCCUGGUGUAGCGGUGAAAUGCGUAGAGAUUAGGAGGAACACC